rnacentral:rRNA from 1 species
CGGCUUGGCCCCUGGUCGGGAAACAGUUGGAACGACUGCUAAUCCCGGAUGAGCCAUAUGGUAAAAGAUUUAUCGCCUAGAGAAGAGCUCGCGUCCGAUUAGUUAGUUGGUGGGGUAAUGGCUUACCAAGACAGCGAUCGGUAACUGGUCUGAGAGGAUGACCAGUCACACUGGGACUGAGACACGGCCCAGACUCCUACGGGAGGCAGCAGUGGGGAAUUUUCCGCAAUGGGCGAAAGCCUGACGGAGCAAUACCGCGUGCGGGAGGAAGGCCCUUGGGUCGUAAACCGCUUUUCUCAUGGAAGAAGUUUUUAUUGUUUCUGAGGAAA